rnacentral:hammerhead_ribozyme from 1 species
AUCGAAUUGACGAGUCUCAAAUAGGACGAAAUGUGCAUCCUGGAU